rnacentral:lncRNA from 1 species
UCGUCGCCGGCGCUACCGGCUCCGCCCUGCGCUCCGGCUAUCACCACCACCUCACCUUCAAGGCUAUCACCACCACCUCACCUUCAAGACGACACACGAUAGCCACGGUUACUCGCGCAAUUCAGUUCCCACGCCAAGAACAGAGCAAUUCAAGAGACGGAACAGAGCAAGAACAGGGGUCAGGGAAUCCUAACCUGCGACGAGGAGUAAGCCGAGGAAUCCGAGGAGCAGGGGAGACAUGGCCUUGCUUCCCGAAUCAUGGAAGAAACCCCCGCGAAUCGGAAGCACCGGCGACGGGGACGACGGGCCGAGCGGCGCGCAGCCUCCGCAUGCGCCCGCUGCUGCUUCUCUCUUCGUCUUGCUCUACUGGCUACUCCUUGCCCUGCAGCUAGCCUUCCGCUUCUCUU